AACGCGUAGGUAACCUGCCUGGUAGCGGGGGCUUUCUAUUGGAAACGAUAGCUAAUACCGCAUGACAACAGUUAUUGCAUGAUAACUGUUUAAAAGGGGCAACUGCUCCACUACCAGAUGGACCUGCGUUGUAUUAGCUAGUUGGUGAGGUAACGGCUCACCAAGGCGACGAUACAUAGCCGACCUGAGAGGGUGAUCGGCCACACUGGGACUGAGGCACGGCCCAGACUCCUACGGGAGGCAGCAGUAGGGAAUCUUCGGCAAUGGACGGAAGUCUGACCGAGCAACGCCGCGUGAGUGAAGAAGGUUUUCGGAUCGUAAAGCUCUGUUGUAAGAGAAGAACGAGUGUGAGAGUGGAAAGUUCACACUGUGACGGUAUCUUACCAGAAAGGGACGGCUAACUACGUGCCAGCAGCCGCGGUAAUACGUAGGUCCCGAGCGUUAUCCGGAUUUAUUGGGCGUAAAGCGAGCGCAGGCGGUUAGAUAAGUCUGAAGUUAAAGGCUGUGGCUUAACCAUAGUACGCUUUGGAAACUGUUUAACUUGAGUGCAAGAGGGGAGAGUGGAAUUCCAUGUGUAGCGGUGAAAUGCGUAGAUAUAUGGAGGGACACCGGUGGCGAAAGCGGCUCUCUGGCUUGUAACUGACGCU
rnacentral:rRNA from 1 species